rnacentral:piRNA from 1 species
UACUGUGCAGGAGCUCAAGUGUCU